rnacentral:rRNA from 1 species
GGAAUUUUCCGCAAUGGGCGAAAGCCUGACGGAGCAACGCCGCGUGAGGGAUGAAGGCCUCUGGGCUGUAAACCUCUUUUCUCAAGGAAGAAGAUCUGACGGUACUUGAGGAAUAAGCCACGGCUAAUUCCGUGCCAGCAGCCGCGGUAAUACGGGAGUGGCAAGCGUUAUCCGGAAUUAUUGGGCGUAAAGCGUCCGCAGGCGGCCUUGUAAGUCUGUCGUUAAAGCGUGGAGCUUAACUCCAUUUCGGCGAUGGAAACUACAAGGCUUGAGUGUGGUAGGGGCAGAGGGAAUUCCCGGUGUAGCGGUGAAAUGCGUAGAUAUCGGGAAGAACACCAGUGGCGAAGGCGCUCUGCUGGGCCAUAACUGACGCUCAUGGACGAAAGCCAGGGGAGCGAAAGGGAUUAGAUACCCCUGUAGUCCUGGCCGUAAACGAUGAACACUAGGUGUCGGGGGAAUCGACCCCCUCGGUGUCGUAGCCAACGCGUUAAGUGUUCCGCCUGGGGAGUACGCACGCAAGUGUGAAACUCAAAUGAAUUGACGGA